CUUGGAGUUAGGUGCGGACAUAUGAAUUGGUUUGGCCAAUAAAAUUACGAAGCAACGUGGCUGCUCUGUCUGCUUGGGUGCCAGACUGAGGAAAGAGCAGAGGAGAGCUCCACUGAUCUGCAGUGAAUAUAAACUGAGAAUUAUCUUAAGUACCUGAGAAUUGGGGCUUGAUUGUCACUGCAGCACAACUUAGCCUAUGUAUCUUUCAUGGACUGUACACGGAUGGGCCAGGGA